AUGACGCAAAACAAGACAACAGACAACGCGCGGCAAUGGCAGUGUCAGAAAGAGAUGGCAACUCUGGCGAGAUGUCUGAAGACGCAAGACAGUAGUGGCGAUGGAGAACAGCAAAACCUUCCACAUCCCUGGCCCUACCUCAAAGAAUUGUUCGAAAUCGUCGGGAGCAAAAAGGAUUCAUGGAGAAUGCGAUGCAAACUUUUCGAACCCAAGAACCACGUUCUUUUGCCAUUCAAAACAUGUAGAGUAAUUUGCUGCAGUGUUCUAGAAUUCUAUCUCAACCAAGGGAGUGUCCACCCUGUUUGACAGUGAGGGUAUUUCCAAGUGAUGUCACAAGCUGAGGUUGUUACGCCUGAUCACACAUGCAGCAAGACGGCAGACACAGGUGAUGGCACGACCUUGUACAGAGAAGAAAGAGUAUACAGUAUGUAUAUACAGUAGAUGCUGAAUGUUUUUUUUCUUUGUGUGUAUGCCUUAUCCAAUUUCAGGCAUUCCCACUACAUCCACAAGUUUAGAGGAGGAGUUGCAUUUUCUAUAAUGUUUUAGUCUUGAUCUUAAUGUAUUAGUUUCUUCUGCUUUUGAUCUGUUCAUUAUUGAAGUGCUUCACUGUCUCUCUCUCUCUCUCUCUAUACUAGCUUUGGAGGACAAGAUUCCAGUAAAAUUAGCUGCUAAGGUAAAAUUCCCCAUUGUCUAUCGUAACCAACAUCUUUUUAUUAGUAUUAGUGGGAAUGGCCGUUGUGUGUUUACCUCUGUCCACAUGCUUACCAAUCUGUCAGGUGCUAAUGGAACAGAUGCACAAUGUGCGGCGUAACAAGGACAUGGUCAUGGCCAGAAUUGGAAAUUGCCAAGCCACAUUCUCAAAGUUCAAAAAGUAGCUUUAUUGUCAAUUACUUUGCAUGUCAAGACAUACAAAGGAAUCUAAAGGACGUUUCCCACUCUCCCACGGUGAAACAUAUAAAGUGCACAGGCACAACAACAGAUAAGACAAGACAUGUCCUACAUAUAGAUAUACAUAUAGACAGUGGUGUAUAAAGUACCCAAAAGCCAUACUUGAGUAAAAGUAAAGAUACCUUCCUGGAAAAUGACUCAAGUAAAAGUAAAAGUAACCU
rnacentral:lncRNA from 1 species